rnacentral:lncRNA from 1 species
GUAGCCAAUAUAAGGGUCACGGUGAACUGCUUAUAAAUGCUAUUAUGUUGUUCAUCUGUUCACGUUUCACAGAUGUCACUGCCACUCUCACCAGCUCCAUCUUCAUCCCGCCGAGUCCCAUCUUCCUUCUCACCAGCCUGGUAUUUUUGAACGUACAUUUGAAUUGCAACAGUCGGCAUCAAGAUGGUGGGAAAUAGCAGUUGAGAUUUCUCAAUUAGAAGAUUGAAAAGUCUAAGGCUGGACAAACAAACAAACAAUGAGAGGUUAAGCCUGAGUUUGGUCUUCUGUUACUUGGAACUGAAAUAAUGUGCAUUGACACACCUAUCAAGUCAAAGUAUUGUCUUUUGCUGGUCUGCUCUGGUCCUGGAAACAUCCACUGAUAGAAUCACUGGUCUGGGACAAAUUGUGGUACCCAAAGACCUCAGGAAGCACUUAGAAGCAUUACUCCUGAAGUCCCAUUCGUCCCAAGAAGAGUUGCUGGCUGGAGGAGACAAUAUGUAAACAUGUCAUGACAAGAUGGUGUGGUGAGUGCUAUGUUGGCAUGUUGGAGGCAAGCAUAGCCAUGCUCACAGUGAGGAAUGACUUAGGAGCGCAACCACAGCCCCAUGCUGCCUUCCACCAUUUGGAUAAAAGAAGGAAAAUGCCUUCAAAUUGUGAUGUUUACUCUGAUGGAUACCCUGACUGGUCAAUGGGAAGACAGGCCACCACCCCCUCCCCUCUGCUUUCUUCCUGA